CGUACCGCCGGGCCGGGGGCCGGGUUAAGACGGAGGGGGCAAGCGUGGGCCGGAAUCACGGGGCGUAAAGGGCGCGUAGGCGGCUCAUUAAGUGGCUGGUGAAAUCCCGGGGCUCAACGCCGGGGCUGCCGGUCAGACUGGUGGGCUCGAGCACGGUAGAGGCGGAUGGAAUUCCCGGUGUAGCGGUGGAAUGCGUAGAGAUCGGGAAGAAUACCGGUGGCGAAGGCGUUCCGCUGGGCCGUUGCUGACGCUGAGGCGCAACAGCGUGGGGAGCAAACAGGAUUAGAUACCCCAGUAGUC
rnacentral:rRNA from 1 species